UACAGAGGUCUCAAGCGUUGUUCGGAUUCAUUGGGCGUAAAGGGUGCGUAGGCGGCGAGGUAAGUCGGAUGUGAAAUCCCGGGGCUCAACCCUGGAACUGCAUUCGAUACUGCCUUGCUCGAGGACUCGAGAGGAGAUUGGAAUUCACGGUGUAGCAGUGAAAUGCGUAGAUAUCGUGAGGAAGACCAGUGGCGAAGGCGGAUCUCUGGACAGUUCCUGACGCUGAGGCGCGAAGGCCAGGGGAGCAAACGGG
rnacentral:rRNA from 1 species